UGAGUUGUUUAUUAAAGCUCUGAAUAUGAAGAUCGAUGCACAAACUGAAUAAUCAGAUCGGGUGUAUUCCUCAUCGCUAACCGUACUAAGGAACUGGAGGAUGGCUGGACUUACUGGGAACAGUUCAACGUUUGGAUUGGGUGACAUCAUCCAGCUGAAUGUCGGAGGAAAAGAGAUUUAGCACAUCCAAGGCAGACUCUGACAUGGAUUCCUGACUCUUUCUUCUCAAGUUUACUUAGUGGAAGGAUAUCAACACUACGGGAUGAAACUGGAGCC